GAUGAACGCUGGCGGCGUGCCUAAUACAUGCAAGUCGAGCGAACGGACGAGAAGCUUGCUUCUCUGAUGUUAGCGGCGGACGGGCGAGUAACACGUGGAUAACCUACCUAUAAGACUGGGAUAACUUCGGGAAACCGGAGCUAACACCGGAUAAUAUUUUGAACCGCAUGGUUCAAAAGUGAAAGACGGUCUUGCUGUCACUUAUAGAUGGAUCCGCGCUGCAUUAGCUAGUUGGUAAGGUAACGGCUUACCAAGGCAACGAUGCAUAGCCGACCUGAGAGGGUGAUCAGCCACACUGGAACUGAGACACGGUCCAGACUCCUACGGGAGGCAGCAGUAGGGAAUCUUCCGCAAUGGGCGAAAGCCUGACGGAGCAACGCCGCGUGAGUGAUGAAGGUCUUCGGAUCGUAAAACUCUGUUAUUAGGGAAGAACAUAUGUGUAAGUAACUGUGCACAUCUUGACGGUACCUAAUCAGAAAGCCACGGCUAACUACGUG
rnacentral:rRNA from 1 species